rnacentral:lncRNA from 1 species
CGUGAUGUGAAGCACCAAGGUUUUUCCACAUAGUUCAUUUGACUGACCAGAAAAUUUGGAUUCUCAAGAGGGCAGAGAAUUUCCAUGUAGCUUUUAAUUGCUUGUUGACAGGUUCUCAUUUUUCCGCCUGGCGAAUAGCUCACCGAUGUCUUAGAUGUGAUGGAUCUAGCAUUGCUAUGUCAAUGCAUGAACCCAUGCUUGCUUGAGAGGGAUCACAAACAUGAAAUUUUAAUUAGUGGUGUUGAGUGCGUCUUAAUUAAGUUCACAAGUUCUAGAAGGUCGAAUCCCCAUUAGUUCUAGGAUGUCGAUUAGGAUACCAGUUUAAAUCUGU